rnacentral:rRNA from 1 species
GAUGAACGCUAGCGGGAGGCUUAACACAUGCAAGUCGAGGGGCAGCAUAGGGUAGCAAUACUCUGAUGGCGACCGGCGCACGGGUGAGUAACGCGUAUGCAACCUAUCCUGUACUGGAAGAUAACCCGGAGAAAUUCGGACUAAUAUUCCAUAAUGAUAUUGAGAGGCAUCUUUUAAUAUUUAAAGUUACGACGGUACGGGCUGGGCAUGCGUAACAUUAGCUAGUUGGUAGGGUAACGGCCUACCAAGGCUAUGAUGUUUAGGGGUCCUGAGAGGGUGGUCCCCCACACUGGUACUGAGACACGGACCAGACUCCUACGGGAGGCAGCAGUGAGGAAUAUUGGUCAAUGGGCGCAAGCCUGAACCAGCCAUCCCGCGUGCAGGAAGACGGCCCUAUGGGUUGUAAACUGCUUUUCCAGGGAGAGAAACUUACGCACGUGUUGCGUGACUGACGGUACCCUGGGAAUAAGCAUCGGCUAACUCCGUG